GAGGAGGGAUAACAAAAAAAAAUAACCAAGUCAAUUUUCAUCCUAAAACCAUAACAAUUGUUUAUACAAACAUGAAAAAUGCAUCAAAUAAAAAUCAUAAUGUAACCUCUCAUCAAAUUAACAAAGUAGAAGUACAAAAGGAUAACAUAAUUAAUGAUUACUCAAAACAAUUAAGAAAUGUAGAUAGAUUAAAAAAAAAAGGAAUUAUAGAAGAAGAUCCACAAAAAUAUUGGAAUAAAAAUAAAAAAACC
rnacentral:lncRNA from 1 species